rnacentral:rRNA from 1 species
UACGGAAGGCAGCAGUGGGGAAUAUUGCACAAUGGGCGCAAGCCUGAUGCAGCCAUGCCGCGUGUAUGAAGAAGGCCUUAGGGUUGUAAAGUACUUUCAUCGGGGAGGAAAAAACAAAACUAAUAAUUUUAUUUCUUGACGUUACCCGAAAAAGAAGCACCGGCUAACUCCGUGCCAGCAGCCGCGGUAAUACGGAGGGUGCUAGCGUUAAUCAGAAUUACUGGGCGUAAAGAGCACGUAGGUGGUUUUUUUAAGUCAGAUGUGAAAUCCCUGGGCUUAACCUAGGAACUGCAUUUUGAAACUGAAAUACUAGAGUAUCGUAGAGGGAGGUAGAAUUCUAGGUGUAGCGGUGAAAUGCGUAGAUAUCUGGAGGAAUACCUGUGGCGAAGGCGGGCCCCCUGGACAAAGACUGACGCUCAUGUGCGAAAGCGUGGGGAGCAAAACAGGGAUUAGAUACC